rnacentral:rRNA from 1 species
GAUCCUGGCUCAGAAUGAACGCUGGCGGCGUGGAUUAGGCAUGCAAGUCGAACGGUAGCAGACCUAGCUUGCUAGGUGCUGACGAGUGGCGGACGGGUGAGUAACGCGUGGGAAUCUGCCCAGUAGCGGGGGACGAACUCGGGGAAACUCGAGCUAAUACCGCAUACGCCCUACGGGGGAAAGGCUUCGGCCACUAUUGGAUGAGCCCGCGUCGGAUUAGCUUGUUGGUGGGGUAAUGGCCUACCAAGGCGACGAUCCGUAGCUGGUCUGAGAGGAUGAUCAGCCACACUGGGACUGAGACACGGCCCAGACUCCUACGGGAGGCAGCAGUGGGGAAUAUUGGACAAUGGGCGCAAGCCUGAUCCAGCCAUGCCGCGUGAGUGAAGAAGGCCUUCGGGUUGUAAAGCUCUUUCAGGUGGAAAGAAAUAGCGCUGUUUAAUAGAUGGCGUUGAUGACGGUACCACCAGAAGAAGCACCGGCUAACUACGUG